rnacentral:misc_RNA from 1 species
UAACCGAAUGUUUGAAAUAUUUUUAGUUUUCACUUGUAACAAAAGCAUGUCACAAUUGUGUCCAUUUCUGUAAAAUUCCAGUGUUCGUCGUCAUUUUUGUAUCAAAUAAAGAGUUUCUGCAUCAAAAUUAUCGACAUUGAAAAACAAAUCCGUCCAAAAUAUUGUAAAUAAUGCCGAAAAACCGGCACUUCAAAUCACUAGGAAAGGAUAGAAACAGUUCUCAGGUAAUACAGCACUCGUCGUCGAAUCGAAGACAGCAAUUGCAACAAUCUCCUCAAAUCAAAAGCAUUUUGAAAAACGUUAAUUUGAACGAAUACAUGUCAGCCGUAUCGGACGUUUUCAGACAAAGGCUUGUAGAGAAAUCACGUGAUAACGAAGGGCAUGUACGUUCGCAAUCGCCGACUCCAUUAGCGUUAAUGAGUAGCAGUAGUGAAGUGGCGACGAACAGUAAAAUGCAGGUGCUUAAGAGGAAACACGUCAAAUUUUGUGACGUUGUACAAGCUUUUAGUAUUGGUGAUGGAUGGAAAAUGUCGACGUUCGUUGAAAAAUUGAAGUCCGAAGUUGACCAGCAGGACCGAAGUAAAAAGCUUCGCGAUAAUUAUCGCCAUUACAUGACGAAGUUCAGUCCAUUGCCAAAAGGUCUUUAGAAGUGAUUUAUGACGAUCGAUCGGUUCGAGGAAACUGUAUCCGAUCAUCCAUAAUAUUUACGAUACAAAAGAAAUGAACAGUUUUUAUAUGGGAAAAUUUACUUUUGAAUUCAUUCUUUUACCAAAAUGUCUUAAUUUGUUAUUUUCAAGAGUAAUAACUCUUUACAUCGUUCAUAUUCAAAAUAUUGUGGAAAAUCAAUACACAUGUCCCGAAUAAUCCAA